rfam:Streptomyces sp. RV15 genomic scaffold PRJNA299236_s007, whole genome shotgun sequence.
GGGCGGACGCCGACCAACAGGGGCGCACCGCUCAAGUUCGAAGACCCUUCAAACCGCCACGUGCUGCGGAAGUGGUGACGCGACCGUGGUGAGCGACUGUGGGAAAGGCGUCCGUGAGGCGUCAGGU